rnacentral:rRNA from 1 species
GACGAACGCUGGCGGCGUGCUUAACACAUGCAAGUCGAGCGGAAAGGCUCCUUCGGGGGUACUCGAGCGGCGAACGGGUGAGUAACACGUGAGUAAUCUGCCCUUGGCUUCGGGAUAGCCACCGGAAACGGUGAUUAAUACCGGAUAUGACAACUUCUCGCAUGGGAUGGUUGUGGAAAGUUUUUCGGCCAGGGAUGUGCUCGCGGCCUAUCAGCUUGAUGGUGAGGUAAUGGCUCACCAUGGCUUCGACGGGUAGCCGGCCUGAGAGGGUGACCGGUCACACUGGGACUGAGACACGGCCCAGACUCCUACGGGAGGCAGCAGUGGGGAAUAUUGGACAAUGGGCGGAAGCCUGAUCCAGCAACGCCGCGUGAGGGAUGACGGCCUUCGGGUUGUAAACCUCUUUCGGUAGGGACGAAGCGCAAGUGACGGUACCUACUAAAGAAGCACCGGCCAACUACGUGCCAGCCGCCGCCGUAAGAC